rnacentral:rRNA from 1 species
GGGCGCAGCCUGAUCCAGCCAUGCCGCGUGAGUGAAGAAGGCCUUCGGGUUGUAAAGCUCUUUCGGUGGGGAAGAAAUUGCUUGGGAUAAUACCUGGGGUUCAUGACGGUACCCGAAUAAUAAGCACCGGCUAACUACGUGCCAGCAGCCGCGGUAAUACGUAGGGUGCGAGCGUUAAUCGGAAUUACUGGGCGUAAAGCGUGCGCAGGCGGUUGUGUAAGUCAGAUGUGAAAUCCCCGGGCUCAACCUGGGAACUGCAUUUGAGACUGCACGGCUGGAGUUUGGCAGAGGGA